CAGCAGGGGUGGCCAACACGCGGCUCGCGAGCCUCAUGCGGCUCUUUAACUAGUUUCAUGCGGCUCUUCAGGAGCUGUCACAUGACAUGCGUCAAAAAUGCUUGGCUGGCGCUGUCAUUCACUCCCCCUACAGCUAGAUGGCACACUGACCAUGUAAGCCUGGUUGAGUGACGUCAAACGAGCGACGAGAGAAUCUUUGGUGUGCCAUCAUUUGUGUUGUAAACAAUUUCCGUCAAGUUACCUCUUGAAAUGAAAUUAUGAAGAAGAACACAGGUCGUUUUUGCCAGAGUGGGAGAGUUUAUAUUUUUUUGUUAAACGUAAUGGCAAGCCGAUCUGCCUUAUAUGUCACGCAGCAUUAGCGCAUUUCAAAGCUUCAAAUCUUCAGCGUCACUUCAGCUCACUCCACCCUAACAUCGAACAGGAAUUUCCAAAAGGGACGGAACUUCGCAAGAACAAGUUGGUCGCUUUGAAAAGCCAGGCAGAAAAGCAGAUUCCUCUUCAUUCAGGAAAAGGUGACUUGUCCAUGUCUCUGUGUUAUAAAUGCCAAUAGCAUGGAAGUCAUUUAUUGGGAACAUCUGGGCCUGGUGGAUAAACAGAUCUUCCCCUCCAGCUCUGGUUUUCAUGGGGCGGAUGACAAAGAGACAUGGUGGAGUGGUGUUAUGACUCGUGGACGUCAGCUGACAACACAAAGAACUACUGAGACGCCACAGGGGGGAAAAGGAAACAAAGCACCAACAAAGCAGAGUCGACUGCCCCAGGAAGAGAGACUGAUGCUAGGCUAACCCAGCUAUGGCCGGAGGCUACCCCACCACCCAGCCUACUCCUGAAUAAUGUCCAGUACUGGAAUCUGACAUGGUUUGAUUCUUCUACACUAUAAAAUAAAUUCAACGAAAUAGAUUCAU